GCGUACGGGUGCGGAACACGUGUGCAACUGUCUUUAUCUGGGGGAUAGCCUUUCGAAAGGAAGAUUAAUACCCCAUAAUAUGUUGAAUGGCAUCAUUCGACAUUGAAAACUCCGGUGGAUAGAGAUGGGCACGCGCAAGAUUAGAUAGUUGGUGAGGUAACGGCUCACCAAGUCUACGAUCUUUAGGGGCCUGAGAGGGUGAUCCCCCAACUGGUACUGAGACACGGACCAGACUCCUACGGGAGGCAGCAGUGAGGAUAUUGGACCAAUGGGUGAGAGCCUGAUCCAGGCAUCCCGCGUGACAGGACGAUGCCCUAUGGGUUGUAAACUUCUUAUGUAUAGGGAUCAAACCUAACACUCGGUGCAGGGUAGCUGAAGGUACUAUACGACUAAGCACCGGCUAACUCCAGUGCCAGCAAGCCUGCAGGUACAUACGGAGGGUGCAAAGACGUUAUACCGGAUUCUAUCGGGUUAAACGGGCCCAGUAGGCAGGAUACUUGGUAAAAGUCAGUAGGUGAAAUCUCAACAAGAGCAUUAACUUGUGCAAACUUGGCCAUUGGAUACUUGCAAGGUACUUUGAAGUUAGUAAGGCGAAGCUAA
rnacentral:rRNA from 1 species